GACAGAGGUGGCAAGCGUUGUUCGGAUUUACUGGGCGUAAAGCGCGUGUAGGCGGAUCGUUAAGUCGGGGGUGAAAGCCCAGAGCUCAACUCUGGAAUUGCCUUCGAUACUGGCGGUCUGGAGCAGAGAAGAGGCGAGUGGAAUUCCGAGUGUAGAGGUGAAAUUCGUAGAUAUUCGGAGGAACACCAGUGGCGAAGGCGGCUCGCUGGUCUCUUGCUGACGCUGAGACGCGAAAGCGUGGGGAGCAAACAGG
rnacentral:rRNA from 1 species